rnacentral:rRNA from 1 species
UACGUAGGUGACAAGCGUUAUCCGGAAUUACUGGGCGUAAAGCGCACGCAGGCGGUCGGGUAAGUCUGAUGUGAAAUCUUCUAGCUUAACUGGAAGAGGUCAUUGGAUACUGCCUGUCUUGAGGCGAUGAGAGGAGUGCAGAAUUCUCGGUGUAGUGGUGGAAUGCGUAGAGAUCGAGAGGAAUAUCUGUGGCGAAAGCGGCACUCUGGCAUUUGCCUGACGCUCAUGUGCGAAAGCGUGGGGAGCGAACGGG